AGUGAACGCUUGCGGCAGGCCUAACACAUGCAAGUCGAGCGGAGCGGCGGACGGGUGAGUAAUGCUUAGGAAUCUGCCUGGUAGUGGGGGAUAACGUCCGGAAACGGGCGCUAAUACCGCAUCCUAUCAGAUGAGCCUAGGUCGGAUUCGCUGGUUGGUGGGGGAAAGGCACACAAGGGCUACGAUCCGUAACUGGUCCGAGCGGAUGAGCAGUCACAAUGGAACUGAGACACGGUCCAGACUCCUACGGGAGGCAGCAGUGGGGAAUAUUGGACAAUGGUGGAAAGCCUGAUCCAGCCAUGCCGCGUGUGGGAAGAAGGUCUUCGGAUGGUAAAGCACUUUAAGUUGGGAGGCGUUACCAACAGAAUAAGCACCGGCUAACUUCGUGCCAGCAGCCGCGGUAAUUC
rnacentral:rRNA from 1 species